ACCUGGCUGGCUCAGUUGAUAGAGCACAGACUCUUAAUCUCAGGGUCAUGAAUUCAAACUCCAUGUUGGGCA
rnacentral:tRNA from 1 species